rnacentral:rRNA from 1 species
AGCCCCACCACUAAGCCAGUGGUGAACUCCACAUACGCAUCCUUUGCUGAGGAUACGGUUAACGGAGCGAAAGCGACGUUCAACCGCAAAAGAAGCAGAGGGGGCUUAGUGGUGGGGUGACUGCGUACCUUUUGUAUAAUGGGUCAGCGACUUAUAUUCUGUAGCAAGGUUAACCGAAUAGGGGAGCCGGAGGGAAACCGAGUCUUAACCGGGCGUUAAGUUGCAGGGUAUAGACCCGAAACCCGGUGAUCUAGCCAUGGGCAGGUUGAAGGUUGGGUAACACUAACUGGAGGACCGAACCGACUAAUGUUGAAAAAUUAGCGGAUGACCUGUGGCUGGGGGUGAAAGGCCAAUCAAACCGGGAGAUAGCUGGUUCUCCCCGAAAGCUAUUUAGGUAGCGCCUCGUGAAUUCAUCUCCGGGGGUAGAGCACUGUUUCGGCUAGGGGGCCAUCCCGGCUUACCAACCCGAUGCAAACUGCGAAUACCGGAGAAUGUUAUCACGGGAGACACACGGCGGGUGCUAACGUCCGUCGUGAAGAGGGAAACAACCCAGACCGCCAGCUAAGGUCCCAAAGUCAUGGUUAAGUGGGAAACGAUGUGGGAAGGCCCAGACAGCCAGGAUGUUGGCUUAGAAGCAGCCAUCAUUUAAAGAAAGCGUAAUAGCUCACUGGUCGAGUCGGCCUGCGCGGAAGAUGUAACGGGGCUAAACCAUGCACCGAAGCUGCGGCAGCGACGCUUAUGCGU